rnacentral:sRNA from 1 species
UUUUCUCUCCUCUCUCUCCA